CAGUCGCGCGGGAAUACGAAGGGGGCUAGCGUUGCUCGGAAUGACUGGGCGUAAAGGGCGCGUAGGCGGAUUGCGUAGUCAGAUGUGAAAUUCCAGGGCUUAACCUGGGGGCUGCAUUUGAGACGCGUAGUCUAGAGUGUGAAAGAGGGUCGUGGAAUUCCCAGUGUAGAGGUGAAACUCGUAGAUAUUGGGAAGAACACCGGUGGCGAAGGCGGCGACCUGGUUCAUAACUGACGCUGAGGCGCGAAAGCGUGGGGAGCAAACAGGAUUAGAUACCCCCGUAGUCCCUGUCUCUUAUACA
rnacentral:rRNA from 1 species